GGAUGUAAGGGCAAUCUGGCUGCGACAUCUGUCAUCCCAUUGAUCACCAGGGUUGAUUCAGCUGAUUUGGCUGGCUAGUUGGGUGUCCCCUUCCUCUCUCAACGCUCCAUGUGCAUCCUUCUGGGGUGUCCCUCCAGAAUCUGCACACUCCUUCAUCAAAGAGGACAGCCUUCCCUGAUAGAGGAGGAUCAGUAGUCUGGCAAAGAUAUACAAGUAGCUGUGCUCCCCUGCUAGAACCUCCAAACAAGCUCUCAAGAAUAGCAAAGGGUUAUCUGCAAAGAAAAGGAACACCAUUGUUGUUUUGUUUUGUUUU
rnacentral:snRNA from 1 species